UUCCUUAAUAAGAAAAUGAGCAUCUUAAUAGUCACUAUUGCUCUGGUAAAACCAAAUCUCCUCUAAAUGAUCCCAGGUAUCUAAAAUACUACCAUUUUUUAUAAUUCAAAACAGAACUUGGACCACUAUAUAUAACCCAUGAAUUUAAGUUUUGUUUUCUAUUAUAUUUCUAAUUGCUUCUUCAUUUAGGAUGUGGGGUGGCAUGUAUGAAUGCUACCCAGAGAAUUAUAAGAGAAAGCUAAGAGAAAGACAUAAAAUCCUAAUUCAUUAAUAAUUACCUCCCCAAAGGAAUUAGGGUUAUGCUACUAACUAGUGAGAAUUUCAAAUUAUUGAACUGAGAAGAGCAGAAAUAGGAAAACUUUUAAAGACUGGUAUCAUUCGUUUUCUCUUUCAACUGAAAAGAGGCACACCAAACAAAACGAAGCACAACC
rnacentral:lncRNA from 1 species